UUGUAGGUCUUGGUGUGAUGGCGGGGAGGUUUUAGUCGGUAGGCGCCGAACCGAACUUCGGUUCGGGACGGUGAAUCCGACACUACCCGGGGUGGUUUCUCGGAUGUCUUUUGAAGAUUUCCUCCCCGACAA
rfam:Trachymyrmex cornetzi contig20210, whole genome shotgun sequence.